UACGUAGGGAGCAAGCGUUGUUCGGAUUUACUGGGCGUAAAGGGCGCGUAGGCGGCGCGGUAAGUCACUUGUGAAAUCUCUGAGCUUAACUCAGAACGGCCAAGUGAUACUGCAGUGCUAGAGUGCAGAAGGGGCAAUCGGAAUUCUUGGUGUAGCGGUGAAAUGCGUAGAUAUCAAGAGGAACACCUGAGGUGAAGACGGGUUGCUGGGCUGACACUGACGCUGAGUGCGCGAAAGCCAGGGAGCAAACGGG
rnacentral:rRNA from 1 species